rnacentral:lncRNA from 1 species
CAUUGCAGACAUCGCGACCGACUGGUCCAAGUUGUAGACCUCCAAUGUUGCUGCGUUGAAAUGGCUGAUAUAUUCUCUGAGUAAUUUUCUCUCCCUCUACUUAAUGUCGAGUAGUGCGUCCAAGCCAUGUUGUCGUCUUUGGUUGAAGAUGAAGUGCAUCGCAAAGAGUUGGGCGAGCUGCCCGAAGGAGUGGAUGGAUUGGGGC